GGGACACAACACCUGCGCGACCGCAAGCGCACUGGAAGGAUCGCGACCGCCACAGCCGGGCACUACGACACGACACUCCCACCUCCACGCCCGCGCGCGGAGGACGAACGAGGGAGGCUCCGGCCCUGAGAUGCUCGCGGUGUUCGACAGGGCGGUGGCGCCGAGCCCGGAAGGGCUACAGCAGCCGGGCGAGGCCGGGCACGGCGCGGAGGGGGUCGCAGCCCGGUUACGAGAGGCCCGCCCGGAAGCGGUCACCGUCGACUUCGGCGGCCACCGCCAUGGCCUACUCUUCCCACCGCCAGAGGCCCUUCCUCCCCAGGUGAGAUCACGGGAUUCUCCGUUGAUUUUGUUUCCCUCGUGUCCUGCGUUCCUGCCUAAAUCCACGAAUCUACGGUGCGUCAGCGUCAGCUGCAAGCAUGGAGAUGCCCGAGCAUGAUCUCACAUAAAUUUUGUCCUCUGCCGUGAGGAACUGAGGAUUCAUGGUGUUACUAUCGCCAUGGGCACAUUAUGUUACUAGUAGUUCAUCACAUGGUCUGCAACAUGAGAAGAGUCCUGUCCUGACAAGUUAUACCUCGCGCUCAUUUCUGCUGCCGAGAUCAACCUCGUCAUCGAGGCCUACAGAACCCUGAGUAGUGAGAGACAUGGAUGGCAAAUUUAUCCUUGUGCUCAGUUCAGUCUUUGUGGCUGCUGUAAGUGGAUAUUUGGGUUUUAUUUUGGUACUCGAUUCAGUUCAGUAACGUGCAAGCUAUAGUAAAUCUCGUCGACACGAAAUCGAACCACGAUAGCCAACUUUUAAGAUUGCAAUUGUGUGGUUACACUGAACUUUCCACCUCAGUUAUUGCAGAUUCGCAGCACAAUGCGUAUUUCUUUUGGAAGAUUUUGAUAUGUCAGUUUAUGUAUUGUCUUUUUUUUCUGUUUCUUUUUUGUCACUU
rnacentral:lncRNA from 1 species